rnacentral:rRNA from 1 species
GUUCAGAACGUCGUGAGACAGUUCGGUCCCUAUCCGGCGCAGGCGAAGGAUAUUUGAGAGGAGCUGCCCUUAGUACGAGAGGACCGGGGUGGACGGACCGCUGGUGUAUCUGUUGGAGACCAACUCCAUGGCAGAGUAGCCAAGUCCGGCAGGGAUAAACGCUGAAGGCAUCUAAGCGUGAAGCCCCCCUCAAGAUGAGAUAUCCCAUUUCUUUAAGAAAGUAAGACCCCUUGAAGACUACAAGGUAGAUAGGAGUGAGGUGUAAGCAUGGUAACAUGUUCAGCUGACGCUUACUAAUCGGUCGAGGGCUUUUCCA